rnacentral:rRNA from 1 species
GACGAACGCUGGCGGCGUGCUUAACACAUGCAAGUCGAGCGGUAAGGCCCUUUCGGGGGUACACGAGCGGCGAACGGGUGAGUAACACGUGGGUGACCUGCCCUCAGCUCUGGGAUAAGCCUGGGAAACCGGGUCUAAUACUGGAUAUGACUCCAUGACGCAUGUUGUGGGGUGGAAAGCCUUGUGCGGCUGAGGAUGGGCCCGCGGCCUAUCAGCUUGUUGGUGGGGUGAUGGCCUACCAAGGCGACGACGGGUAGCCGGCCUGAGAGGAUGAUCAGCCACACUGGGACUGAGACACGGCCCAGACUCCUACGGGAGGCAGCAGUGGGGAGUAUUGGACAAUGGGGGCAACCCUGAUCCAGCAAUGCCGCGUGAGUGAUGAAGGCCUUAGGGUUGUAAAGCUCUUUCGGCGGGGAAGAUGAUGACGGUACCCGCAGAAGAAGCCCCGGCUAACUUCGUGCCAGCAGCCGCAGUAAG